UAGAAGGGAAAAAGGAAGUGUGAGCUGUAGACAUUAACAGUGAUACUAACAGGAGCAGAGACUUCCCAAGCAGCCCCUGUCUCAGGGCCAGGGAAGCACACCCACAAGACCAGAAUGCUAAGCAGGGAGACUCAGGGUCCCCUCGCCUCUGCCCGUGUGACCCUGCCAUGGGCUGCAGCCUCCACUGUGGUGUGGUCCAUUGUCUCGGGCUCCAUGGAUACUGAAAUUACGCAGACACUAAAAUACCUGGUCACAGGAAUGGGGAGUAAAAGGAUGAUGAAACGUGAGCAUCUGGGACAUGAUUCUUUGUAUUGGCUCAGACAGAAAGCUAAGAAAUCCCUGGUGUUCAUGUUUUACUACAACUGUAAGGAACUCAUUGAUAACAAGACUGUGCCAAGUCACUUCACACCUGAAUGCCCUGACAGCUCUCGCUUAUACCUUCAUGUGUUCGCGCUGCAGCCGGAAGACUCAGCUCUGUAUCUCUGCACCAGUAGCCAAGAUACAGCCCUGCAGAGUCACCGCCUCCCUGUGCACAAACCUCCUCCUAAGUCUAGUCAGAGAUCCAUGGGGGCAACGCGUUCAGCUGAGCCUCAACACUCGGUUCAGCAUUCCGACACACAGAACCUGAAGUCACCCAGAUUCCCAGCCAUCAGGUCACACAGAUGGGACAGGAAGUGAUCUUGCAGUGUGUCCCCAUCCCUAAUCACUUAUACUUCUAUUGGUACAGACAAAUCUUGGGGCAGAAAGUCGAGUUUCUGGUUAUCUUUUUUAAUAAUAACAUCUCAGAGAAGUCUGAAAUAUUCGAUGAUCGAUUCUCAGUUGAAAGGCCUGAUGGAUCAAAUUUCACUCUGAAGAUCAAGUCCACAAAGCUGGAGGACUCAGCCAUGUACUUCUGUGCCAGCAGU